rnacentral:rRNA from 1 species
UACGUAGGGGGCAAGCGUUAUCCGGAUUUACUGGGUGUAAAGGGAGCGUAGACGGCGAUGCAAGUCUGAAGUGAAAGGCGGGGGCCCGACCCCCGGACUGCUUUGGAAACUGUAUAGCUGGAGUGCAGGAGAGGUAAGUGGAAUUCCUAGUGUAGCGGUGAAAUGCGUAGAUAUUAGGAGGAACACCAGUGGCGAAGGCGGCUUACUGGACUGUAACUGACGUUGAGGCUCGAAAGCGUGGGGAGCAAACAGG